GACGAACGCUGGCGGCGUGCUUAACACAUGCAAGUCGAACGGACAGGCCCUGCUUUUGUUGGGUGCUCGAGUGGCGAACGGGGGAGUAACACGCGUGUAACCUGCCCCUGUCAUUGGGAUAUCUUCAGGAAACUGGGGCGCAUACCGGGUAGGAGCUCCUGCUCCAUGGUGGGGGUUGGAAAGUUUCGGCGGUGGGGGAUGGUCUCGCGGCUUAUCGGCUUGUUGGUCGGGUAGGGGUUGACCAGGGCUUUGACGGGUAGCCGGCCUGGGCGGGUGACCGGCCACCAGACGACUGAGAGAGGGCGCAGACUCCUAUGGGAGGCAGCAGGGGGGAGUAUUGCACAAUGGGCGGAAGCCUGAUGCAGCAGCGCCGCGUGCGGGAUGAUGGCCUUCGGGUUGUGAACCGCUUUCGCAUGUGACGAAGCGUGAGUGACGGUAAUGGGUAAAGAAGCACCGGCUAACUACGUG
rnacentral:rRNA from 1 species